CCUACGGGCGGCUGCAGUGAGGAAUAUUGGUCAAUGGGCGCAAGCCUGAACCAGCCAUCCCGCGUGCAGGAAGACGGCCCUAUGGGUUGUAAACUGCUUUUCCAGGGGACGAAUAGUUUCUACGUGUAGAGACCUGACGGUACCUUGGGAAUAAGCAUCGGCUAACUCCGUGCCAGCAGCCGCGGUAAUACGGAGGAUGCAAGCGUUAUCCGGAUUAAUGGGGUUUAAAGCGGAUGUAUAAGUCUUCAUUGAAAUUCUUCAGCUUAACUGUAGAACUGCCAUUGAUACUGUUAGUCGUGAGUUUGGUUAAGGUAGGCGGAAUGUGUAAUGUAGCGGUGAAAUGCUUAGAUAUUACACAGAACACCAAUUGCGAAGGCAGCUUACUGGACCGACACUGACGCUGAGGCACGAAAGCGUGGGGAUCGAACAGGAUUAGAUACCCCUGUAGUC
rnacentral:rRNA from 1 species